ACCACUGUAUCUUAAUUGGACAAAGAAACAAUCUUCUAAAUUGUAUUAUGUGAGUUCGAGUCUCACCAGUGGUACCA
rnacentral:tRNA from 1 species